UUUGCGACUCUGACAAGGAUUAGUAGUCGACGAUGUUUUCCAGAAACUCCGUGGUCGUUGCAAACGGGGACUCAUCGUCGGCGAACUCACCUUCGAGUCAUCUGGCUGAAAGCAAUUGUAGGUUCAGACGUGAUUUCGCGUUAAGAAAAAUCAAGAGGCCAUGCAUUGCGUGGAAUCAUAGGUGGUACCGCGGAACCUCGUUUCGUCCUAUAA
rnacentral:ncRNA from 1 species